rnacentral:rRNA from 1 species
CCCUUAGAUGUCCUGGGCCGCACGCGUGCUACACUGACGCCUACAGCGAGUACUUCCCAGCCCCGAGAGGCGGCUGGUAAUCAGCAAUAGGCGUCGUGAUGGGGAUAGAACUUUGGAAUUAUUGUUCUUGAACGAGGAAUGCCUAGUAAGCGCACGUCAUUAGCGUGCGCUGAUUAAGUCCCUGCCCUUUGUACACACCGCCCGUCGCUACUACCGAUUGGAUGGUUUAGUGAGGUCUUCGGACCGGCGCUUGCUGUGGCAACACACGGGUGCUGGAAAGUUGCUCAAACUUGAUCAUCUAGAGGAAGUAAAANUCGUANCA